rnacentral:rRNA from 1 species
GACGAACGCUGGCGGCGUGCUUAACACAUGCAAGUCGAACGGAAAGGCCCUGCUUUUGUGGGGUGCUCGAGUGGCGAACGGGUGAGUAACACGUGAGUAUCCUGCCCUUGACUUUGUGAUAACUUCAGGAAACUGGGGCUAAUACCGGAUAGGAGCUCCUGCUGCAUGGUGGGGGUUGGUAAGUGUCGGCGGUUGGGGAUGGACUCGCGGCUUAUCAGCUUGUUGGUGGGGUAGUGGCUUACCAAGGCUUUGACGGGUAGCCGGCCUGAGAGGGUGACCGGCCACAUUGGGACUGAGAUACGGCCCAGACUCCUACGGGAGGCAGCAGUGGGGAAUAUUGCACAAUGGGCGGAAGCCUGAUGCAGCAACGCCGCGUGCGGAAUGACGGCCUUCGGGUUGUAAACCGCUUUCGACUGUGACGAAGCGUGAGUGACGGUAAUGGGUAAAGAAGCACCGGCUAACUACGUG